UGAAAGAAUUGGUUCCACCUUGAGGGGCAUCGUGGAUGUGGUGUGAGAGCCCAGAGCACCGCCACGGCCAGCCAGAUGAUUUUAGCCUAUGUCCAGUGAAGGCAAGUCACGGUCUCAGAUAAUGGCAGUUGAUGGCAAACUAUGCGAUAUGUAAACUAGCAAGACAGGGCUCAGGUGGUAGAUCUGGCAUGGUACAGCGAUCCACAUUCCUCUGCGUGCCACAGCUCAUCUGGGAGACCUUUGAUUUGGCUUGAGCAUAAGCACGCGAUCUACACCAUGGUAAAUGCGCCAUUAGUGACUGCAACUCAUGUUGUGGCUGUUAUGCAAGUCUCGUGGUGGGGGAUUACCCCUGCCGGUCCAUAGAAAUGGGGGAGGGGUAGCGGGGCUUCAGUUCCAUGAUUCCACAUGCGUCAGUCCAGGAAAAGGCCACCUCUCCCUUCCGCAACACUAGGUCUCACACUCAAAUGGCAGAGAGCACCCCCAACGACCGCUGAAAGUAACCCCGAGCCGGUCAGUGAAAGCAGGGUUGCAGCCUUACUCUGUCUGCUCAAGACAAAGAGCCCAAGAAAUGGGCGACUGGACUAAAACGCCAAAUUCCUGAAGGGCUCUUAGAGAACACGUCCAGUCACCAUCACAGUC